rnacentral:rRNA from 1 species
AUUGAACGCUGGCGGCGUGCUUAACACUUGCAAGUCGAACGGAGUGGCGAACGGGUGAGUAUUACGUGUGUAACCUGCCCUUAACUGUGGGAUAAGACUGGGAAACUGGGUAUAAUACUGCAUAGAUGGGGAUUGGCUCGCGGCCUAUCAGCUUGUUGGUGGGGUGAUGGACUACCAAGGCGGGGACGGGUAGCCGGCCUGAGAGGGUGGUCAGCGACAUUGGGACUGGGAUACGGCCCAGACUACUACGGGAGGCAGCAGUGGGGGAUAUUGCACAAUGGGCGAAAGCCUGAUGCAGCGACUCCGCGGGAGGGAUGAAGGCUUGCGGGUUGUAAACCUCUUGCGGUACAGAACGGGUAUGUGCAGAAGAAGCGCAGGCUAACUACGUGCCAGCAGCCGCGGUAAUUC